CCUGGCUCAGGACGAACGCUGGCGGCGUGCCUAAUACAUGCAAGUCGAGCGGACAGAUGGGAGCUUGCUCCCUGAUGUUAGCGGCGGACGGGUGAGUAACACGUGGGUAACCUGCCUGUAAGACUGGGAUAACUCCGGGAAACCGGGGCUAAUACCGGAUGGUUGUUUGAACCGCAUGGUUCAAACAUAAAAGGUGGCUUCGGCUACCACUUACAGAUGGACCCGCGGCGCAUUAGCUAGUUGGUGAGGUAACGGCUCACCAAGGCGACGAUGCGUAGCCGACCUGAGAGGGUGAUCGGCCACACUGGGACUGAGACACGGCCCAGACUUCCUACGGGAGGCAGCAGUAGGGAAUCUUCCGCAAUGGACGAAAGUCUGACGGAGCAACGCCGCGU
rnacentral:rRNA from 1 species